AAAAAAAAGAAAGAUGAUGAGAUAAAGCAACAUGGUUCCUCAAACUAUCAUCUCCCAAAUCAUUAAGGUGUGGCAGCAGAACAUGAGCAAGUUUGGCUUCCAUUUCUCCUCUAGGCGUGGCAGCAAGAGCUCUGUUUCAGCUUGGCUUCUACAACUUCUCCACCUUUCCUAAGGAAUGGGACUUCUUGAUGCUUUCUUUCUUCCUUCUCAUUAGUAGCCUCCGAAAAAAACCAACCCCUCCUUGUUUUUUACCAGGUACAAUAGCAAGAGCUCCGACAGCAAUAUUACCAGACUUUUGCUUUGAAUCAAAUUUUGCUUCUGAAGUAGGUACCAAGAAACUAUGAGUACUCAAAGCAUUACCAUUAUUAGAAUGGUUUUUCGCUUCUGUGGUGGGAGAUCUGAGAAUAAUUGCCUUAGUUUUAUCUUCAGCCAGCAUUUGAUCACGCAAUGAGAAUCGCCUAUUCAAGUUCUUAUUAAUGGUGGCAGUUGUGGUGGAACCAUUGGUAUUGAAUACUUUGUCAAACAAAGCUGCUUCCCUUGGUGUAGCCAGUGCCUUUAGUUGUUUUCCAAGGUUAAGGAUGGUCUCUUGGCAUUCAGCCAACUUUAAAGAAGCUGCAGUGAUCUCCGAUCCAUUUUGGUUUUGCGCUUCAUCUUCAUUUAUGCUGUAGUUCAGAGAUUCCUUCUUUGCAACACUUUCUAGCUGGAGUUGAAGCUCUAGGCAAGUAGCUUCUAGUUCUUCACAACAGUUGCUUUUUUCUUCCAGUUCAACUUCCAAAGAUGUGAACUUCUGUAAGACCUCAUUCAAUUUUGCUUUGGCAACUGUAAGUUGAGUAUCAAAAUCUUCAUUGAUUGUCUUCUGAUUUUCCAUCUGCUCUUCAAUCAUUCCUUUGGAUUCUCGCGUAGCUUCCAGCUCCAUUUGUAGACUUUCAAUGCUUUGUUCUGAUUUCUGAAGUUGCAUCAUUAAAGUUUCAUUCUUUUCAGCAGCAGAAUGAAGCUUGGUCUCCAUUUCUUUUUUCCCAGAUUCCAUAUUCUUCAGCUCAUCUCUUAAUUUUCUGAUCUCUUCUUGCAGAUUACACUGUCCAGAAUUCAUUUGAAUUGAAUUGUAUUGCUCAUGUAAAGAAGCAACCGAUGGCAAACUUGGUGGUUUCUCGUUGAAAAUACAAAUGGCAUUUGAAUCCAUCAGUGGAAAAUCCACAGCAACUCCAACUUCAUUGUCACUUUGCGAUUCACUCCUACUGAAAUGCUUUUUGAUCUUAUCUCUUGUUCCUGAAGCAUCUUUAGGUGUAACACAGUUGUUCACAAUCCAGUCUAAAGUAAACAACAAUUCUUCAGCAAAACUUUCAAGACCAGCUUUUCCAUUCAACAAAGAGUUACAAGUAAGAAUAAACCGCUGCAGAACAGAGCUUAGUUCAGAACUCCUCCACUGAAAAACAUGAACAAAAUAGUCUGCAGACACUGAGUGUGAGGAACUUCCUUCCCUCCUUGACACAUUAUCUGUUGCACCAUUGCAGAGUAGAGGUCUUGGGUUGAUUCCUUCGAUCAGCUGAAUGAUCUUGCCAAUUGACUUGCUCAGAUUCAAUUGGCUACCUUUUUUGCUUGUUUCCCUAGCAGAGGUUUCAGCAUUGGAAGCUUCAUUCAAUGGAUGAAUGAAUGAAGAUAUGUUUGGAGACUUCCAAGCAAUGCAACUUCUAUUGUUGGAUUCCACCGAAUGCUUUGACAUUGUUGUUGUUUCUGCUUCAAAGACACUUGGAUGAUUUAUAUAACCCAGAGCUAUUUUGAUGUCAUCAAGAAGUUCAGUUAGACUUUGUUUUGAAAUACGCUGUUGUUUAAAGAUUGCAUUCAAUACCUCUUGAAGCCAAUCAAAGGAUUUAUCAGUGGAAACAUCUCUUGAAUGCACCUCCCUUUUGUCAUUACAGCCAGAAUGACCUUGCACUACUGGAACUAGUUCCUUACCAGCUGAGAGAGAGUGAUUACUGCCUCUGGAAGGUGUUUUUGCAGAAACUACAGCUAAUUUCUCCAUCUCAACAAAAUCAUCCAUUAAACUAAUGUCUGAAACUUCAAAGGCUUUACGAUCUGAUGGACUCUUGUGUUUUGCAUCUCUGAAAUGUUCCAGUUCUGACAUUAGAGCAUUAGCCCAUGAUCCAGAAGAGCUAAGUCCAUCGUCACUGCCAAAAUCAAAACCUGCAAUUGGAUAGAGUUCACUUGAUACUGGACUGCACUUUGCCAAAUCCAUAUGUUUCUGACUGCCAGAAAGCUCUAUAAGCUGAGUCUCAACCUGUGACAACUUGGAAGCUGUUUGUGAAUACCUGAUCCUUGAAGAUCGGAGUUCAGUAUUCUUCUUGGUCAGUAUUUCCUUGAGAGUUCUAUUUUCUUCUUCCAUACCCCGUAGUUGUUCAAUCAGGAAAUUGAUAUUCUUAACAGGAAUUUCAGAAGAUUUUUCCCCAGUGGUGUCCCUGAGAACCAAAUCUCUUGUAGGAUUUGGCUUUCUCCUCAACUCUAUCGGAUCCUUUCCUAGCAUCUCAACUUCAUUCUUCAUCCUCGUCAAAGUAGCAGGACCUGGAAGUUUUUUACGCAUUAGUAUUCGGAGUCUCUGGCAUUCUGCUUCUAAAUUUGAGAUUUUCUUAACACUUUCCAAGUGUUGCCUGUGUGAUGCUUCAGCAGAGCGACGUGUGUAUUCCAAUUCCUCGUUGCGAACCUCAAGCUCCUUCUCAAGCAUGUGAAACUCAUACUUCAGAAAAGUAUUCUCUUUUUCUGUGGUAUCUAAUCUAGCCAUUAAUGCAUCGAAUUCUGCUGCUGUCUGAGAAGCACGUUUAUGCAGUUCUUCCACCAAUUUCUCUUUGAGUACAAUAGCCUUACUCAAAUUUGUGUUCUCAACAGCUAUAUUGGCAAGCUUUUGGCUUGUCUCUCUCAACUUAUCUUCUAAUUUUUCCUGUGCCUUCUCAAAUUCACUUUUUGCUUUUAUGACAGCAUCUUGUAUCUUUUGCUCCUGUUCCUCUUGCAAAGAACUCAGUUGCUGCAUGCAUUCCUUCAGUGCAGCAUCUGAAUUAGCUAAUUUUUCAUUUGCAGCUAAUCUUUCCUUUAAAGCUUCAUCUAGAUCUUUUCUCAGGCACACUACUUCUGCCUCCUCCUGGCCUGCAACGUCUUCUUGCAACAGCUUUUCUUGUUUGAUAACAAGAUCAUCUUUGGCAGAAGAAUCAAGAAGCACUGAAGCCAACUUCUCAUUCAAAUUUCUUACAGGUCUACCUGAUCCUACUUCAUUCCCCAUUUGAAGCUCUUCAUCAAUUCCUUUAACAGAAAUGCCAAACUUGUUUGUUGCAACGAUUGUCUUUUGUGAAGAUUUUUUCCUCCAAAGCCAAGACCUGUUGUCCAUGGUUUCACUCCUCUACUUCAUGGCCUAUCUAGCUAGCUUAGCAAGAACUUGCCCUCAUCAACAGUAGCCAAACAGAGCAUCCACCAUUUUUUCCCUCAUCAUCAAGCACCUGAAAUGAAGAUAGAGAAAUACAGGGAGAGAGAAAGUAAAAAUGAAGCAGAAGAAGCUAAUCCUUAAUGGGUCUAAGGACACAGGACUAAGAAAGUAAGAAGAGUGUCCAAACAGAGACCAUGUUAAGGACAGAAGUCUUUGCAUAGGAUGCUAUGCUACUCCUCCACCGACAACAACCUCAGAACAUUAAUUAUAUGAGAGAGAAACAAAAACCCAUCAAGAAUUUCAUGGAAAAGAAAAAUAUUUUACUGUGAAAAUGGCCAAUGGAAAAAGAGAAAGUACUGAUGGGACUGCGGC
rnacentral:misc_RNA from 1 species